AGCAGCCGCGGUAAUUCCAGCUCCAAUAGCGUAUAUUAAAGUUGUUGCAGUUAAAAAGCUCGUAGUUGAAUUUCGAGAUCAAAUUGUUGGUCGUGCCUCGGUACGUACUGGCAUUAUUGAUUUCUCCCUUCUGAAGAACCACGAUGUCAUUAAUUUGGUGUCGUGGGGAAUCAGGACUGUUACUUUGAAAAAAUUAGAGUGUUUAAAGCAGGCUCACGCUUGAAUACAUUAGCAUGGAAUAAUGAAAUAGGACGUUUGAUUCUAUUUUUGUUGGUUUCUAGGAUCGACGUAAUGAUUAAUAGGGAUAGUUGGGGGCAUUAGUAUUCAAUUGUCAGAGGUGAAAUUCUUGGAUUUAUUGAAGACUAACUACUGCGAAAGCAUUUGCCAAGGAUGUUUUCAUUAAUCAAGAACGAAAGUUAGGGGAUCGAAGACGAUCAGAUACCGUCGUAGUCUUAACCAUAAACUAUGCCGACUAGGGAUCGGAUGAUGUUAAUUUUUAAUGACUCAUUCGGCG
rnacentral:rRNA from 1 species